rnacentral:rRNA from 1 species
UACGUAGGCGGAAAAUUAAGUCAGUAGUGAAAUCCUGCAGCUUAACUGUAGAACUGUUAUUGAUACUGGUUUUCUCGAAUAUAGUUGAGGUAGGCGGAAUGUGUAAUGUAGCGGUGAAAUGCUUAGAUAUUACACAGAACACCGAUUGCGAAGGCAGCUUACUAAGCUAUGAUUGACGCUGAGGUACGAAAGCGUGGGGAGCGAACAGGAUUAGAUACCCUGGUAGUCC